UCUCUCUGUCGCUCUCUUCAAGGUCAACAACACCUAUUAUCGUCACCUCCCCUCGACGUCGAGUCUGAGCUGUUGGCAUCGCCGUCGCGAAGGACUGCUCCGUCGUCGUCGCUGCUCGAUUUGUUAGUGUCCGUCUCUCUCUUCGAGUUUUCUCUCUGUCUGAGGAUGGCUAAUUACUCGUGAGAAUUCAGGGAAAAAUAAUGUUGUUGCUGCCUCUGUGUUAAUUGGAGAACUUGACUUAUUUGAACUUGUCACAUGCUGGAUUUGUGGAAAAAUAAUGUUGUUGCUGCCUCUGUGUUACAUGCUUGGUUACUCUUGAUCUUUCACUAUCUUUCGACAUGAAUGGUUCAAUGCUUUGUUGUUACUGCCUCACCUC